CAGCCGCCGCGGUAAUACGUAGGUGGCAAGCGUUGUUCGGAAUUAUUGGGCGUAAAGGGCUCGCAGGCGGUUUCUUAAGUCUGAUGUGAAAGCCCCCGGCUCAACCGGGGAGGGUCAUUGGAAACUGGGAAACUUGAGUGCAGAAGAGGAGAGUGGAAUUCCACGUGUAGCGGUGAAAUGCGUAGAGAUGUGGAGGAACACCAGUGGCGAAGGCGACUCUCUGGUCUGUAACUGACGCUGAGGAGCGAAAGCGUGGGGAGCGAACAGGAUUAGAUACCCGUGUAGUCCCUGUCUCUUAUAC
rnacentral:rRNA from 1 species